rnacentral:rRNA from 1 species
CCCUUAGAUGUCCUGGGCCGCACGCGCGCUACACUGAGUGUCUGAGAUACGAGUCUGCCUGGUCCGGCAAGGUCUAGGUAAUCGCUAAAAGACACAUCAUGCUUGGGAUAGAUUAUUGCAAAUAUUAAUCUUGAACGAGGAAUUCCUCGUAAGCGCAAGUCAACAGCUUGCGUUGAUUACGUCCCUGCCCUUUGUACACACCGCCCGUCGCUACUACUGAUUGGAUGUUUAAGCGAGGUUCUCGAACUGCUAGCGACUUAGCUUCGGUGAGGUCGCAGUGUGGGAAGUGAACCUAGCUUUGGUGUCUAGAGGAAGUAAAAGUCGUAACA